GAGUUUGAUCAUGGCUCAGAUUGAACGCUGGCGGCAUGCUUUACACAUGCAAGUCGAACGGCAGCACAGGGAGCUUGCUCCUGGGUGGCGAGUGGCGAACGGGUGAGUAAUGUAUCGGAACGUGCCUGGUAGUGGGGGAUAACCACUCGAAAGAGUGGCUAAUACCGCAUGAGAUCUCUGGAUGAAAGCGGGGGACCUUUGGGCCUCGCGCUACUGGAGCGGCCGAUAUCAGAUUAGGUUGUUGGUGGGGUAAAGGCCUACCAAGCCUGCGAUCUGUAGCUGGUCUGAGAGGACGACCAGCCACACUGGGACUGAGACACGGCCCAGACUCCUACGGGAGGCAGCAGUGGGGAAUUUUGGACAAUGGGCGCAAGCCUGAUCCAGCAAU
rnacentral:rRNA from 1 species